GAUGAAGAACGCAGCGAAAUGCGAAAAGUAAUGUGAAUUGCAGAAUUCAGUGAAUCAUCGAAUCUUUGAACGCACAUUGCGCCCGCCAGUAUUCUGGCGGGCAUGCCUGUCUGAGCGUCAUUUCAACCCUCACGCCCCUAGGGCGUGGUGUUGGGGAUCGGCCAGCGCCCUCGCGGGCGAUGCCGUCCCCUAAAUCUAGUGGCGGACCCGUCGUGGCCUCCCCUGCGAAGUAGUGAUAUUCCGCAUAGGAGAGCGACGAGCCCCUGCCGUUAAACCCCCAACUUUCUCAGGUUGACCUCAGAUCAGGUAGGAAUACCCGCUGAACUUAAGCAUAUCAAUAAGCGGAGGA
rnacentral:misc_RNA from 1 species